AUAACGGGAUAUAUUAUCACGAAGGGGGUUGAGCUAAUUAAUUAAGUUGGUAGAACUAUAACCAUAUGUUGCAGUAUGUGGCUAAUAUAAUUAAUUAGGGGUGAUAGGCCUCACAAAGCCUCCGAUAUCUUGUUUCCUAGGAAAUAUAUUAAGUAUACUUUCAAUUUAGGAGUGUUUAGGCUCUUAAACAUUACUAAUUUAAUUAGUGGCAUAAUAAAUUACCUAACGGUAAUUAUUUAAACAAAAUUAAUAUUAAUUAUUUAGGCUUGUACUGUCUACUAGGAUAUACAUUGUAAUUGAUUAUGUAAUAUUACUGUUAAUAUUAGUAUUACAUUAAAGUUUUUGUAGGAACUCGGCAAAUAACUUCUCAACUGUUUAUCAAAAACAUAGCUAGGUGAGUAUUGAUAUCUGGUGAUUCCUGCUCAAUGGCUUAGCUAAAUAGCCGCAGUACCCUGACUGUGCAAAGGUAGCAUAAUCAUUUGGCUUAUAAUUGAAGUCUGGCAUGAAAGGAUAAAUGGGAAGUGACUGUCUUUUAAGACUUACUAGAAAUUAAUUAGCAAGUGAAAAUUCUUGCAAAUACCUAAUAGACGAGAAGACCCUAGAAGUUUUAUACAUUAGUAGUUGAUAUAUUAACACUAUUUUGUUGGGGCGACAGAGUAGCAAUGAACCUAUUUUUAUAAAUUAGAACUAUAUAUUGAGUCAAAUUAAACUACUCUAGGGAUAACAGCAUAAUUUAUUAAAGUUUGUGACCUCGAUGUUGGACUAGGGAUCUUAGUGCUUAGAAGGUGCUAAGCCAAGCUCUGUUCGAGCUAUUUUCCCUACAUGAUCUGAGUUCAGACCGGC
rnacentral:rRNA from 1 species